AUUGAACGCUGGCGGCAUGCUUUACACAUGCAAGUCGAACGGCAGCGCGGGCUUCGGCCUGGCGGCGAGUGGCGAACGGGUGAGUAAUGCAUCGGAACGUGCCCAGUAGUGGGGGAUAGCCCGGCGAAAGCCGGAUUAAUACCGCAUACGACCUGAGGGUGAAAGCGGGGGACCGAAAGGCCUCGCGCUAUUGGAGCGGCCGAUGUCGGAUUAGCUAGUUGGUGGGGUAAAGGCUUACCAAGGCGACGAUCCGUAGCUGGCCUGCGAGGACGACCAGCCACACGGGGACUGAGACACGGCCCAGAUUCCUACGGGAGGAAGAAGUGGGGAAUUUUGGCAAAUGGGGGCAACCUUGCGCCAGCCAUGCGGGGGGCGGAAAGAAGGCCUUCGGGUGGUAAACCGUUUUUGUUGGGGAAGAAAUCCUUUGGGCUAAUACCCCGGGGGGAGGACGGUACCGGAAGAAUAAGCACCGGUUAAUUACGU
rnacentral:rRNA from 1 species